AAGAUUUUUUGUCCCUCGGCGGACACCGUUUACCAGCCAAAGCUAAGUCUCCGCGCUCACCGACUUCAUAGGGUGCCGAAUCUUUUUUCCCCUAGCUUGCCAUGGCGAGCCGAGGGGCUCGGCAGCGCUUGAAGGGCAGCGGGGGCAGCGGUGGGGACACGGCCCCGGCCGCGGACAAGCUGCGGGAGCUGCUGGGCAGCCGUGAGGCGGGCGGCGCGGAGCACCGGACUGAGUUAUCUGGGAACAAAGCAGGACAAGUUUGGGCACCCGAAGGGUCUACUGCUUUCAAGUGUCUGCUUUCAGCAAGGUUAUGUGCUGCUCUCCUGAGCAACAUCUCUGACUGUGAUGAAACAUUCAACUACUGGGAGCCAACACACUACCUCAUCUACGGGGAGGGGUUUCAGACUUGGGAAUAUUCCCCAGCAUAUGCCAUUCGCUCCUAUGCUUAUCUGUUACUUCAUGCCUGGCCAGCUGCAUUUCAUGCAAGAAUUCUACAAACUAAUAAGAUUCUUGUCUUUUACUUUUUGCGAUGUCUUCUGGCUUUUGUGAGCUGUAUUUGUGAACUUUACUUUUACAAGGCUGUGUGCAAGAAGUUUGGGUUGCAUGUGAGUCGAAUGAUGCUAGCCUUCUUGGUUCUUAGCACUGGCAUGUUUUGCUCAUCAUCAGCAUUCCUUCCUAGUAGCUUCUGUAUGUACACUACGUUGAUAGCCAUGACUGGAUGGUAUAUGGAAAAGACUUCCAUUGCUGUGCUGGGAGUAGCAGCUGGGGCCAUCUUAGGCUGGCCAUUCAGUGCAGCUCUUGGUUUACCCAUUGCCUUUGAUUUGAUGGUCAUGAAACACAGGUGGAAGAGUUUCUUUUAUUGGUCACUGGUGGCCCUCAUACUCUUUCUGGUGCCUGUGGUGGUCAUUGACAGCUACUAUUAUGGGAAGUUGGUGAUUGCACCACUCAACAUUGUUUUGUAUAAUGUCUUUACUCCUCAUGGACCUGAUCUUUAUGGUACAGAACCCUGGUAUUUCUAUUUAAUUAAUGGAUUUCUGAAUUUCAAUGUAGCCUUUGCUUUGGCUCUUCUAGUCCUACCACUGACUUCUCUUAUGGAAUACCUGCUGCAGAGAUUUCAUGUUCAGAAUUUAGGCCACCCAUAUUGGCUUACCUUGGCUCCAAUGUAUAUUUGGUUUAUGGUUUUCUUCAUCCAGCCUCACAAAGAGGAGAGAUUUCUUUUCCCUGUAUAUCCACUUAUAUGUCUUUGUGGUGCUGUGGCUCUCUCUGCACUUCAGCACAGUUUUCUGUACUUCCAGAAAUGUUACCACUUUGUGUUUCAACGAUAUCGCCUGGAGCACUAUACUGUGACGUCGAAUUGGCUGGCAUUAGGGACUGUCUUCCUGUUUGGGCUCUUGUCAUUUUCUCGCUCUGUGGCACUGUUCAGAGGAUAUCAUGGGCCCCUUGAUUUGUAUCCAGAAUUUUACCGAAUUGCUACAGACCCAACCAUCCACACUGUCCCAGAAGGCAGACCUGUGAAUGUCUGUGUAGGAAAAGAGUGGUAUCGAUUUCCCAGCAGCUUCCUUCUGCCUGAUAAUUGGCAGCUUCAGUUCAUUCCAUCAGAGUUCAGAGGUCAGUUACCAAAACCUUUUGCAGAAGGACCACUGGCUACCCGGAUUGUUCCUACUAACAUGAAUGACCAGAAUCUAGAAGAGCCAUCCAGAUAUAUUGAUAUCAGCAAAUGCCAUUAUUUAGUGGAUUUGGACACCAUGAGAGAAACACCCCGGGAGCCAAAAUAUUCAUCCAAUAAAGAAGAAUGGAUCAGCUUGGCCUAUAGACCAUUCCUUGAUGCUUCUAGAUCUUCAAAGCUGCUGCGGGCAUUCUAUGUCCCCUUCCUGUCAGAUCAGUAUACAGUAUAUGUAAACUACACCAUCCUCAAACCCCGGAAAGCAAAGCAAAUCAGGAAGAAAAGUGGAGACCGGAGAAGAGCAGAACCAACUUACAGGAAGAAUUGAAAAUCGUGGGACUGGAUGGCUGUGUUAAGCUGUUCUCCACACUCUGGCCUGGCAUCUGAGAACUAGCAAGCCUCUCUUAGGCCAUAUGGGCUUCUCCACCAAAGCUGUUUGGCAGCUCCUAGCAGACCUUCUUGAUCAAAUCCUCGUGCUGUAAAUGAACACAGCCUAGUUGCCAACCCACAUGUCCUUUUCACCUGCAGCAAGACUAAGCUUCUAUAAAGCACUUCACAGGACUAGGACCCUGUCCUGGAGCUAUCUCAGGAAAAAGCCUUUACAGUCAGUACUGCAGUUUACAAGGCACUUUCAUAGCAUCUCAUUUGAUCCUCACAGUCACAACAUGUGGUAGACAAGGCAGGGAUUUGUAUCCCCAUUUUACAGAUAAGGAAACAGGCUGGGGGGUGGGGAGUGAGGGGAGAUAAGCGUAGUUGCCUGAGGUCACACAUCCAGUAAGUGAUAGAGCUGGGACUGGAACCUAGGUUUCCUCACUCUCAUCUAUUGCUCUUCCAUAUUCCUCACUCAACCAUGAAAACAUUACUUGAAAGGACUGAUGAGGUUAACCAGAGACCCAACUGUUAUUGUAACUUUCUAUUUUAAGGAAGAAUUGUAUCUGUAUUUCUUUGAGUUCUUUGGAGGCUCCAGUCUGCUUGUGUGUUAGACCAGCACAGCAGUGCUGUGAGAUGCAGCCUGACCUGUGGCAGGAAAGUAGUGCUUAUGUUUGGAAGUCAUGUUUUUUUGCAGCCACACAGGAUCCAAAUAUCAGUACUAUUCCUGUAGUCAAUCUGGGGUCACAUUAUAGGUGCCUUAUUUCCCUAAGGGUAACUGUUUUGAAUAUCUGCAAAUAGGAUGAAUCUAUUUUUCAGAAGUUCUAUCUUUCAUUUUCUUUUUUUUUUUGAGACAGUUUCAUUCUGUCACCCAGGCUGGAGUGCAGUGGCACAAUCUUGGCUCACUGCAACCUUU